rnacentral:rRNA from 1 species
GUUCUUCGUGAACAUAGCGAACUGCUCAGUAACACGUGGAUAACCUACCCUUAGGACCGGAAUAACCCCGGGAAACUGGGGAUAAUACCGGAUAAGCCAUAGACGCUGGAAUGCCCUAUGGUUCAAAGCUUCGGCGCCUAAGGAUGGAUCUGCGGUCUAUCAGGUUGUAGUGGGUGUAACGUACCUACUAGCCGACGACGGAUACGGGUUGUGAGAGCAAGAGCCCGGAGAUGGAUUCUGAGACACGAAUCCAGGCCCUACGGGGUGCAGCAGGCGCGAACACUUUACAAUGCGGGAAACCGCGAUAAGGGAACCCCGAGUGCCAGCAUCAAAUGUUGGCUGUCCAGAUGAUUAAAAAUCAUUUGUUAGCAAGGGCCGGGCAAGACCGGUGCCAGCCGCCGCGGUAACACCGGCGGCCCGAGUGGUAGCCGCUAUUAUUGGGUCUAAAGGGUCCGUAGCCGGUUCGAUAAGUCCUCUGGGAAAUCUGGUUGCUUAACAAUCAGACUGCCAAGGGAUACUGUCGAACUUGAGACCGGGAGAGGUAAGAGGUACUUCAGGGGUAGGAGUGAAAUCUUGUAAUCCCUGGGGGACCAUCUGUGGCGAAGGCGUCUUACCAGAACGGGUCUGACGGUGAGGGACGAAAGCUGGGGGCGCAAACCGGAUUAGAUACCCGGGUAGUCCCAGCCGUAAACGAUGCUCG